UACGUAGGUGGCGAGCGUUGUCCGGAAUUACUGGGUGUAAAGGGAGCGCAGGCGGGGAGCCAAGUUGGAUGUGAAAUACCGCAGCUUAACUGCGGGGCUGCAUCCAAAACUGGUUCUCUUGAGUGAAGUAGAGGUAGGCGGAAUUCCUAGUGUAGCGGUGAAAUGCGUAGAUAUUAGGAGGAACACCAGUGGCGAAGGCGGCCUACUGGGCUUUAACUGACGCUGAGGCUCGAAAGCGUGGGGAGCAAACAGG
rnacentral:rRNA from 1 species